rnacentral:lncRNA from 1 species
UUAGCCCCACUCUUUUCCUGCACACGGUACAACGACUCGGUUGCUGUUGCGGUGUAAUUACCGCAGACUCGUCUUCCAACUGUGAACUCGUCUCUACUGCAGCAGCGGUGGAGAUAGAGGCAGGUACUACCGUGGUGGCUACAGGAGAUGAGAAUUCCUUGGGAAGCGGAACAGCAGGACACAGCGAUGACGAUGAAGAAGACGAUGGCGGAGACAGUAGAGACUCCUUGAGCCGGAAAUCACGGUAGCAUUUGGAGCAUAGAUUGAGCGUAGCAGGACUUCCUAAACAACCGCAGUUAUUUGCGCAAAGACGAUGACCUUCCUGCGUUGCUUGACAUCUGUGUUGUUCUUCCGCCAUUAAUCCGUGUCUGAAAUCGAUCGAUCUCCUUCUCUCCCUUUU